UACAGAGGUCCCAAGCGUUACUGAGAAUCACUGGGUUUAAAGGGUGCGUAGGUGGUCCGUUAAGUCAGUUGUGAAAUCCCCGGGCUCAACCCGGGAAAUGCUUCUGAUACUGGCGGACUUGAGGCCAGUAGGGGUCACUAGAACUGACGGUGGAGCGGUGAAAUGCGUAGAUAUCGUCAGGAAUGCCGGUGGUGAAGACGGGUGACUGGGCUGGUUCUGACACUGAGGCACGAAAGCGUGGGGAGCAAACAGG
rnacentral:rRNA from 1 species